rnacentral:rRNA from 1 species
UACGAAGGGGGCUAGCGUUGCUCGGAAUUACUGGGCGUAAAGGGAGCGUAGGCGGGUUAUCAAGUUGGAGGUGAAAGCCCAGGCUCAACCUUGGAAUUGCCUUCAAAACUGAUAGCCUAGAGUAUGAUAGAGGUAUGUGGAACUCCGAGUGUAGAGGUGAAAUUCGUAGAUAUUCGGAAGAACACCAGUGGCGAAGGCGACAUACUGGGGUCAUGACUGACGC